GACGAACGCUGGCGGCGUGCUUAACACAUGCAAGUCGAACGGAAAGGCCCUGCUUUUGUGGGGUUCUCGAGUGGCGAACGGGUGAGUAACACGUGAGUAACCUGCCCUUGACUUUGGGAUAACUUCAGGAAACUGGGGCUAAUACCGGAUAGGAGCUCCUGCUGCAUGGUGGGGGUUGGAAAGUUCCGGCGGUUGGGGAUGGACUCGCGGCUUAUCAGCUUGUUGGUGGGGUAGUGGCUUACCAAGGCUUUGACGGGUAGCCGGCCUGGGAGGGUGACCGGCCACAUUGGGACUGAGAGACGGCCCAGACGCCUACGGGAGGCAGCGGGGGGGAAUAUGGCACAAUGGGCGGAAGCCUGAGGCAGCAACGCCGCGUGCGGGAUGACGGCCUUCGGGUUGUAAACCGCUUUCGCCUGUGACGAAGAGUGAGUGACGGUAAUGGGUAAAGAAGCACCGGCUAACUACGUG
rnacentral:rRNA from 1 species